UUCUUAGUUGUGCUCUUUUUCAUCGCCGAAUGGUCAUCAGCUUCUUCCACUCUCCUAAAAAACCCCAAUCUCUGAAUCGCCACAUUCUUCUUCUUCACGCAUGUUGUUCAUCCUCUUCCUUCUGCUUCAAACCCUAAAACUCCAUCCGUACAGAGACGAUUCUUCAUCUAAUCAUCUUUCACCCCUACGAUUUGAAACCGGAUUUGAUUAAUCUCAACAAGGUUUUGGAAGCAGAGCGUGACUCAGCAAGUUCUUUUGAAGCAUUGCCGUUUCAUUAUGUUGAAAUCUCAAGGCUUCUUUUUGACCAUGCUCGCGAUGACAUGCCUGAAGUAUAUAUGGUAAGAUCACUUAUUGAAGACAUCUAGAUGUUCGGUUUCACAAAAUUGGUACCGGAUUGGAGAAGCUUUCAUCUCGGACAUACGCUUUGAAGGUAAAAUAGUUUGCACACCUUUCACAUUCGACAGAAGAUGUUUUGUUCUUGCACGAGCUGUGAUCACAAUAAUACUGAUCGAUCAUGAUUGGGACUUCGAUUUGGAUUAAUUUUAGUGUUUUUUGAUGUUUUUAGAGUUGUUGGUUGUAGGAGUCUUAGGAAUUAGGGUUUUUAUAGGAAAAAUUGACCCAGGUUUUGGAGGCAGAGCGUGACUCAGCAAGUUCUUUUGAAGCAUUGCUGUUUCAUUAUGUUGAAAUCUCAAGGCUUCUUUUUGACCAUGCUCGCGAUGACAUUCCUGCAAUGGUGGAUGCACAACUUUAUGCAAUCAGUGGGACUAUAGCUCAGUGGUACUUCUCCAUAGACGAUCCGAGGGUUAAACAUCAUAUGACGUUCUCUAAGGUUUAUUUUCUUGCAGUUUAUAGGUUCUACACAAUCAUAUGUAGAAGGGAUGCUAUAAAGAUAAUAUCUUUGUUCAUUUAUUGUAUGCUUUUUUUAUAAACGUAUUUGGCCUGUUCUCAGGAACAAUACGUUUUUUUAGGACUAUUGAUUGUUGUUGUACGAAUAGUGCGCAGGGCAGUUGUUACUGCAGCGAACGAAGAUGCAAGUGGGUUGAUCAACGUCGUUUUUAGAUGCUAUGUCAAUGCCCUAUUAUGGAGAUAAUUUCAACUUCAUUCAUGUUUGCUUUGUACGUGUGCUUGGUGUUGUUGGGGAACAUUGGAUGCAGAGUGUGAGAAAAAUCCUUUUGAGGGUGCAGCUGCUGCACCAAAAAAGACUGUUAAAGCAACAGAUUUUGUAUCUUCUGUGUGCUGUGGUGGUUUGGAUAGCUUGCCACGAGAGGAUAUAAGCAGAAAGAUAACACUGGCUCUUCUUAAAGGAUUGGAGAGUAAUGAUUGGAAGGCCCAUCUCGAAUCUAUUGAAGCAGUAAGUAAAAUUGUGGAUGAGGCUAACAAGCGUAUUCAGCCUACUGGAAUAGUGGAAUUGUUUGGGGCUCUUAGAGCUCGGUUAUAUGACAGCAACAAAAACUUAAUUACGGCUACACUGACUUCUAUAAGUGCUCUUGCAUCGGCUAUAGGACCUGGAGUAGAGAAGGCCAACAAUGUCAAUAGAUACGUCUAUCUUCAUUUAUAUAUAAAUAAGUUAGGUUAUUGUAAAUCCAAGAUUUAACAUUUAACAAUAAUAAUAAUAUAUGCUUUUCUUGCAGGGAAUUUUGUCCGGUGUUAUCAAAUGCCUUGGUGACAAUAAAAAGAGCACGAGAGAAUCUACCAUGAUAACUUUGGAUGCUUGGGUUGUUGUUACCCAUCUUGAUAAAAUGGUACCAUAUAUUACUGCUUCUUUGACUGAUGCUAAACUUGGGGCAGAAGGACGUAAGGACCUUUUUGACUGGUUGUCGAGGCAACUUACAGGAUUUGCAGAGUUACCUGAUGCCAUUCAGUUACUAAGACCAGUUGCUGUUUCUAUGAUGGAUAAAUCAGCAGAUGUUCGUAAAGCCGCAGAAGCGUGCCUUAGGGAUAUUGUUAGAGUUUGUGGAACAGAAAUGGUCAUGAAGAAUGUAAGAGAUAUUCAAGGUCCCGCGCUGGCGAUUGUUCUUGAACGGUUGAAGACACACAGUGCAUUUCCAGAAGUGCAUGAGAACACAAGAACAGUCCCAGCUGGACAACCAUCGAAAACAGGUUCAAAGAUUGGCAAAUCAAAUGGUCAUGCAUCAAGGCAUGGAAGCAGAUCUGUAUCUUCGGUAUUGAUAUACUAUCUGCUAUACUUUGUUCAUAUUAAUCUAUUAGUUAGGUUUUAUAACGGUUGAAUCUAAAGUACACGAUUGUGAUCUGUAAGUGACUUAUCAUCUCUAUAACAUUCUGGUUGUUUUGUAAUCCUUACUUAGUUCUCAAUCAUUAGGCCAAAGUUAGCUUCGGGCUCCGUUGAAUUAAGCACCCAACAAUUCGGAACUCUUUUAACCCAGUGACGAAUACAAGCGAAGCAACACAUUCUUGCAGGUGAUAUUUUCCAGAUUGUUUUAAGUCAGCGUUUUGAACGUCGAACGCUCGCAGAUCCUUUCGAGAUUUAUCGCGCGCUAAGAGUCGUGAAUCCAAGUCCGUACAUGACUUAUUUGCAGCUACGCGAUGACUUGAUGACAAUGCUCAUUGCUGGCCACGAAUUCCAUAACGAUGGGCCUGCUGCUGCUUCGCCAAAUGGAGAUCAGUAUUAUGACCCUCGCCGGCAACGUGAUGAAGGAGGCUAUGAUAACUGAUCAAAGCUGCAUCUUCUGGAGUACAGGGUACAGAAAUUAACAUCAAAAUUCAUCAUAAUCUUCGUCUAUUCAUCUUCGCCUUUUGUUUUAGAGAGUGAAAGUAACGAUCUGUAGUGAGAGAAAUCCCAGAAAUUGAACUCCGGCGGAAAUCCGAAUCUCCGGCGAACCAGGUCUGAGUUAUGGUGAAAAUCCGAAUCUCCAGGUAUGUUUAAUCGAAAAUCAAUUAAUUUUAUACUAUAUAUUCGUUUCAUCAGCUCAUUUCUUUCUAAAAUUUUGUUUGUUUCGUCAGCUCUUUUCUUCUUGGUUUAAAUUUUGUGAGUUGUAUCUUGAAAGUUUGAUAUUUCUGUUGCGGCCGAAAAAUGUCCACUAGUCUACACUAAACAGGUCAGGUUUCAAGUUCCUAAAUUAUGCAUUGAUUGCAUAGGUUGGGUCCGAGUAGAAUGUGUUAUCAUUGACCAGACACGGUAACGUCCUUUUGUCCAUUUACUACAUACUUCAGACAACUUGAGUGUCGGAAACUCAUAGCACAUUUUAAGACUUUGUCGUCAACACUGAAAGAUGUUGUGUCUAGUAUCGAAAGGUUUUAUGAUACUUACAAAAUGGACCCGGCAGCAAUGAACCACCUGAUAAUCUCUGGCGUGCCUACUAUAGUGGAGCACAGGGCAGCGGUCGCGGCCUUAGGGGUGACCUCCGUUGCGAUAGUGGCGGAAUGCGUGCAAAAUUUCAUUACUGCAAUGGAUUCGUUGAAGCUGAACAUGACUGCAAUUGAUCAAGUUUUCCCUUUGCUUUCUGAUCUGUCAGGUUCGCUAAAUAAAAUGUCGAUUUUACCUCCAGAUUUUGAAGGAAAGACGAAGAUGGAGGAGUGGAUCGGACGGUUAGCGAAGAUGGGGGCUGCGGAUGAGUUGACUGAGCAGCAGGCUAGACAACUUCAUUUUGACCUGGAAUCGUUUUAUAAUUCGUUUAUGGCUGCAUUACCGACAAGUGGGGCAUGAUUCUGGCAUGUAAUCUUUUACGGAGAAGAAAUAAGAUCACAGUUUUCGAAACUCAACUUUUGUCACUCGAGUCUGUGUUUGAAAUACUGUUUUGUUGCCUAGAAGUGUUGAUUGAUUUAGGGAUGUUUGGGCUUUUCUUUUUGUAAAUUGUUAAGUUUAUGGUUACAGUGGUGAUUGCAUCUGUACAAGCAUAUAUGAUAAAUUUACAUUAACAGUAAAA